rnacentral:rRNA from 1 species
AUUGAACGCUGGCGGCAGGCCUAACACAUGCAAGUCGAACGAGUGGCGGACGGGUGAGUAAUGUCUGGGAAACUGCCCGAUGGAGGGGGAUAACUACUGGAAACGGUAGCUAAUACCGCAUACCAUCGGAUGUGCCCAGAUGGGAUUAGCGUGUAGGUGCGGUAACGGCUCACCUAGGCGACGAUCCCUAGCUGGUCUGAGAGGAUGACCAGCCACACUGGAACGGAGACACGGUCCAGACUCCUACGGGAGGCAGCAGUGGGGAAUAUUGGACAAUGGGCGAAAGCCUGAUGCAGCCAUGCCGCGUGUGUGAAGAAGGUCUUCGGGUUGUAAAGCACUUUAAGUUGGGAGGCGUUACCAGCAGAAGAAGCACCGGCUAACUCCGUGCCAGCAGCCGCGGUAAUUC